rnacentral:sRNA from 1 species
CACUUGACAUCUUCUUCUUCUUCUUCUUCUUGCCAUUUUUUAGGGUUCUGUCAGGUUUCAUGCAGAGAGUGA